UGAGAAGAAUUGGGCCACAUUUGAAGGAGGAGUAGCGAAAAAACGGAAUACUGUACUUUUCUUAAUGGCCUUCACUGUAAUGGCAGGAAUUUUAAUGUAAACUAUUCAAUGUGACCAGCGUGAAGAGAGGAAUCGGGUGUACUAAGUUUUAUCUUGAUAGAAGAAGGUGUUCAAAAGUUAUAAGGAAAAAUGUGCAUUUAUGCUAUCUCAUGACCCAUAGGUGGCGCUGUGCCCAAAUUCGGCAUGAACCCUCAGAUCAUGGUGUUGGUGAAGUGUAUCAAGUUUAGUUUCGAUUGAUCAAUGUUUGGCCGAGAUACAGCCUCUUAACCGAUUUUGGGUCGACCUCGUUAUGUUCACAAUUUAAUAACUUUUGAACAAAGACGAAUAUCAAAAAUCUGUUCAGUCAUUUCUGUGCGGCUCGGUCUGAAGAUCGUCUGUGGUCAAUUUCAGAAAAAUCAAACCACUUUUGAAGGAGGAGUAGCGUUUAAACGGAAACACUUAAUUAGCUUAAUAGCAAUUACUGUAAUGGGUGGAAACUUAAUGUAAGGUAUAGAAUGUAAUCUCCAUGAAGAGAGUAAUCAUGUGUACUAAGUUUUAUCUGUCUAGACCAAAGGGUUCAGGAGUUAUUAAAGUUUAAAAACUGAAUUUUUGAACUGGUGGUGGCGCUGUAGAGUUGGUCUUAGAGACCCCAAAGUUGGUCAAAUCACUAUUGGUGACCAUCUCUAGAAGUGUGCCAAAUUUCAUCAUUUUCCCAUGUUCCCUUCAUAGGGCUGGCAUAGUGAUCGAUUGUUUUUGCUCGAAAAUUCUACCAAAAACAAUCGCUAAUAUAGCUGCAAGCAGCGAUCCCGGGGCCAAGCCCUGAAGGGCUGUAGCCAGAGCAACGAGCGGGACGAAGCAAA